UGCGAGCGGCUAAUAGCGGAAUCACCGUCGGCGCGAGCGAGCGAGCGAGCAAACGGCCGAGCGUGCGAGCGAGCGAGCGAGCGAUCGGUCGGUCGGUGUUAGUGGUCGGCCGACUCGGCCGCCCAACCGUUGCCCCGCGGCUGUUUCCCGUACGGUGUGUACGACGUCCGGUGCGCCGCCUCCUAAUCGGAGCGGAGCGUAGCGCAGCAAACGCAGCGCGGUCGAGCGAGCGUAUACAGCGGCCAGCGAGGGGAGCGUGGAGCCGUGCGUCGUCGAGUAGUCGAGUAGUCCACAGUCGGUGGUGGUCGUGGUGCAUACACACACAGCCAGCGCGAUGGUCGUCAAGAUCUACGUAUCGGGUAUCAGCGGCAACAAGGAAGUGAAGAAAAGACAACAACGAGUGAUGAUGAUUCUAGAUAGUAAAAAUGUAGAAUACGAGAGCAUCGAUAUAACAGAACCAGGCAAAGAAUUAGAGAAAGAAUUCAUGCAAGCUAACAGUAAUGCCAGGAACAACAAGUAUCCGUUGCCACCACAGAUAUUUAAUGAAGAUGAUUAUUGCGGCGAUUACGAAGAUUUUGAUUUAGCAAAUGAAAUGGAUGAGCUGGAAAAGUUUCUAAAGGUGACACCAGCGGUCAGUACCGCGGAAAUCACUCUCGAUUCAAAGUCUCAAAGCGAUGAAAUCCAAGAGAAUGGAAAUACUUCAAGUCGAGAGCCUUCUGCAGACAAAGAAGCAGAUGUAGUACUUUCUGAAAGUUUACCAAAAAGGACAACUCUAGAAAGCGAGACUAAAGCGUUAGACGACUCUAAACCAACCGAAGUAGAUAGCGCAGAAAAAGUUAUCGCUAUCGACGAAGGUGAACACGCAGAAGAUAGUGGCGAUAAAAACGAAGAGAAGUCUGACGAUCAAGAGAAAGAAGAAUAGAUAUGAAAUAUGCCCAUGUAAAAUUGGGAUAUUCCACACAAUGACAUCCUUCCUUUUCCACCCACAAACGUAUUUUGCAAAGCUACGUUUAUUACAUUACUAAGGCUGAAUGAAGAUCAAACGCGUCUUCACCAAUGUUUCGCAACAGGUCUGAUUAGGUGAUAUGAGACAAUUUCAUAUCGCUAUCUUUACAUCCUCGUUUGUUUAUUAUUUUUGCAUUGUGUGUGUUUCGCACCGCAUCAAAUCCAAUACGUUAUAGCACACCCUCGAUAAUGGAACUAAAGUAUAGUGUAUUUUUCGUUUACACGUGCAACUUUAUUUGGUUAUUUCAUUAGCGCGUGCAAAGCGUACAAAAGUAAAUGUAAGAUACAGCAACAUAUACAUAUACACAAUAUCAUUUGAGACAUAUGUAAACAAAUAUAUAUAAACAGAUAUAGAUAUUAUAUAUAUGUAUUAUAAGUAAUUUUUUUAUUUUUAGAGAGAUAUAACUGAUUUGUUGUACACACAUGAGAAAAAAAUUUUUGAUAUUUAUAUUAUUUUUUUAAUCGAACAGUAUUAAUGAUAGGUUUGGCUUGUUAUUUAAAAAAUUUUUAUUUGAACAUUUCAUUUUUUGCGUUAAGAUACUCAAACAGUCUUUCCAAAUAUGCUAUAAGAAAUCAUUAAUUUCUUGAGCUUAUAUAUUAAAUAUAUUAGAAUUAGUUAAUAGAGGAAAGAGCAAAAGAAAAGAGAUAUCUAGAUUUUUAUAACUGAAUUAUGAGUACUUUUUUUAUGGUAUAAAUUUCCAUUUUCUACUUAGGACAAAAUUGUGUAUGACUCAUACUGGCGUGACAUGAUUUCAUUGAUAUGUGUGUAUAUGACUCAUGCUUAUUCAACAUCAGCUACGGCCAUUAGAAUCUUUGUAUCUAAAUUAACUGAUUAAAACGCAAUAUUUAAAAAUAUUCUAUUUCCAAAAACAAAAAAUUUGGCUUAUAACAGUAAAUUAUACUGUAACAAUAUAAAAACUAAAACAAAAGAGAGAGAGAAUUUCUUACAACAGCUACUAUUAUAACAGAAAACAAUAAAUUCCUUAACAUACGGAAUAACAAGUAAUGAACAAAAAAAGAUAUGCAUAAAAUUAAUGUUUAUAUAUUAAUAUUCUAAAGUAACUGAUUCAAAUUAAUAUGUUCUAAAGUAACAAUACACAAUAAUAGUAGUAGUUGUAACGAUCGAGAGGCCUAUGUGAAUUAUUGUUUCUCUUAUUAUUUUUAGUCAUUUUCUUCCUAUGCUCAGCGAGAUUAUUAUCUUGCAUAAAUCUUUUAUUGCUUAUCUAUUAUUCAAAUGAUACCUCUAUCAUAAAAAGAUUAAGCUUUACCCAGCAUUUGCUACAAGUUGCUUUGUUAUAAAUAAAUAAAUGAAAUAAAAAAUUA
rnacentral:misc_RNA from 1 species